rnacentral:rRNA from 1 species
UACGUAGGGUGCAAGCGUUGUCCGGAAUUAUUGGGCGUAAAGAGCUCGUAGGCGGUCUGUCGCGUCGGCUGUGAAAGCCCGGGGCUUAACCCCGGGUCUGCAUUCGAUACGGGCAGACUAGAGUGUGGUAGGGGAGAUCGGAAUUCCUGGUGUAGCGGUGAAAUGCGCAGAUAUCAGGAGGAACACCGGUGGCGAAGGCGGAUCUCUGGGCCAUUACUGACGCUGAGGAGCGAAAGCGUGGGGAGCGAACAGG